GAUGAACGCUGGCGGCGUGCCUAAUACAUGCCAGUCGAGCGAACAGACGAGGAGCUUGCUCCUCUGACGUUAGCGGCGGACGGGUGAGUAACACGUGGAUAACCUACCUAUAAGACUGGGAUAACUUCGGGAAACCGGAGCUAAUACCGGAUAAUAUAUUGAACCGCAUGGUUCAAUAGUGAAAGACGGUUUUGCUGUCACUUAAAGAUGGAUCCGCGCCGCAUUAGCUAGUUGGUAAGGUAACGGCUUACCAAGGCAAUGAUGCGUAGCCGACCUGAGAGGGUGAUCGGCCACACUGGAACUGAGACACGGUCCAGACUCCUACGGGAGGCAGCAGUAGGGAAUCUUCCGCAAUGGGCGAAAGCCUGACGGAGCAACGCCGCGUGAGUGAUGAAGGUCUUCGGAUCGUAAAACUCUGUUAUUAGGGAAGAACAAAUGUGUAAGUAACUAUGCACGUCUUGACGGUACCUAAUCAGAAAGCCACGGCUAACUACGUG
rnacentral:rRNA from 1 species